ensembl:lncRNA
AGGUGCUGCAGCACCCAUCAGCACCCCUACUCCCUGUGGCUAUGUCUGUGAUCAUAACCUAGAACCCCUGCUGAGUUGUUAAAGCCCAUUAGCCUACAUGCAAUCUUGUUGUGGCUUACCAAAUCAAGAGAAUGCUUCUGAGAGUGGCUCUAACUCUAUCCACAGGAACAGACACCAGCAGUGAAAUCCACACAAACUACUACACCAACAAUCACCUAUAUGGCGACAUGGAGGAACAGACACCAGCAGUGAAAUCCACACAAACUACUACACCAACAAUCACCUAUAUGGCGACAUGGAGGCUGAAGAGGACGCAUGUGGGAGUCAGCUGGCUCAGAGGCCAUGGUACUUAUCCUGUCAAAGUUUAUGUUCUUACUGGGACACUCUGCUUCUCAUUGAACUGCUGUGUGGGGAAAAACAAACAUCUAUUGUUAUCAAAAAUCAACUUCAUGAAUCAACUUCAAGUACUCAAAGAAUGUAAAUGUCAAGCAGAGACUUGGAACACAAUAAAUCGUACUGCACCAAGGCCACAAAUGUUUACAGUGCUGUAUUACCGCCUGGUACGGCAACUGCAGGGCUCUCCAGAGGGUGGUGCGGUCUGCCCAAUGCAUCAACGGGGCACACUGCCUGCCCUCCAGGACACCUACAGCACCCGAUGUCACAGGAAGGCCAAAAAGAUCAUCAAAGAUAUCAACCACCUGAGCCACGGCCUGUUCAAACCACUACCAUCCAGAAGGCGAGGUCAGUACAGGUGCAUCAAAGCUGGGACCGAGAGACUGAAAAACAGCUUUCAUCUCAAGGCCAUCUGACUGUUAAAUAGAAGUUACUACCCGGCUACCCCCCGGUUACUCAACCUUG